rnacentral:tRNA from 1 species
GGGCCGUUAGCUCAGUUGGUAGAGCAGCGGACUUUUAAUCCGUUUGUCGCAGGUUCGAGCCCCGCACGGCCCA